rnacentral:tRNA from 1 species
GGAGGGGUGGCAGAGCUGGUUGAUUGCGGUUGAUUUGAAAUCAACUAAUCUGUUUUGACAGAUUCAAGGGUUCGAAUCCCUUCUCCUCCG